GUUAUAUAGUCAAGCGAAUAAGCGCAAACGGUGGAUGCCUUGGCAGUCAGAGGCGAUGAAGGACGUGGCAGCCUGCGAUAAGCGUCGGGGAGGUGGCAAACAACCUUCGAUCCGGCGAUUUCCGAAUGGGGAAACCCACCUGGUUUCGGCCAGGUAUCGCCCGCUGAAUACAUAGGCGGGCGAGGCGAACCCGGGGAACUGAAAUAUCUAAGUACCCGGAGGAAAAGAAAUCAACCGAGAUUCCCCAAGUAGCGACGAGCGAACGGGGAUUAGCCCUUAAGCUUGUGGGUGGGUAGUGGAAGUGUCUGGAAAGUCACACCAUAGAGAGUGAUAGUCUCGUACGCGAAACGCGCCCAUAAGUGAAAUCGAGUAGGACGGGGACCGUGAAAACCUGUCUGAAUACGGGGGGACCAUCCUCCAAGGCUAAAUACUCCUGACUGACCGAUAGUGAACCAGUACCGUGAGGGAAAGGCGAAAAGAACCCCUGUGAGGGGAGUGAAAUAGACCCUGAAACCGUUUGCGUACAAGCAGUGGGAGCACCCUUCGGGGUGUGACCGCGUACCUUUUGUAUAAUGGGUCAGCGACUUACUUUCAGUGGCAAGGUUAACCGUCUAGGGGAGCCGCAGGGAAACCGAGUCUUAAAUGGGCGAACACAGUCGCUGGGAGUAGACCCGAAACCGGGCGAUCUAUCCAUGGCCAGGGUGAAGGUCGGGUAACACCGACUGGAGGCCCGAACCCACCUAUGUUGAAAAAUGGGGGGAUGAGUUGUGGAUCGGAGUGAAAGGCUAAUCAAGCCCGGAGAUAGCUGGUUCUCCUCGAAAGCUAUUUAGGUAGCGCCUCGUGUAUCACUGGCGGGGGUAGAGCACUGUUUGGGCUCGGGGGCCAUCUCGGCUUACCAACCCCUUGCAAACUCCGAAUACCGCCAAGUGCAAUCACGGGAGACAGAGCAUGGGUGCUAACGUCCGUGCUCAAGAGGGCAACAACCCAGACCGCCAGCUAAGGUCCCCAAGUACCGGUUCAGUGGGAAACGAUGUGGGAAGGCACAGACAGCUAGGAGGUUGGCUUAGAAGCAGCCAUCCUUUAAAGAAAGCGUAAUAGCUCACUAGUCGAGUCGGCCUGCGCGGAAGAUGUAACGGGGCUAAACCGGUCACCGAAGCUGCGGACGCCUUUAAAGGCGUGGUAGAGGAGCGUUGUGUAGGCCUGCGAAGGCGAGUCGAGAGGCUCGCUGGAGGUAUCACAAGUGCGAAUGCUGACAUGAGUAACGAUCAAGGAGGUGAAAACCCUCCUCGCCGGAUGACCAAGGUUUCCUGCGCAACGCCAAUCGGCGCAGGGUGAGUCGGCCCCUAAGACGAGACCGAAAGGUGUAGUCGAUGGGAAACGGGUUAAUAUUCCCGUACCUCGCGUGAGUGCGAUGGGGGGACGGAGAAGGCUAGGCGGAGCCGGGCGAGUGGUUGUCCCGGUUCAAGCGAGUAGGCAGUGGCUGUAGGCAAAUCCGCAGCCGCGACGUCGAGACGCGAUGACGAGCGCCCAAGGGCGCGAAGCCGCUGAUGCCAUGCUCCCAGGAAAAGCCUCUAAGCUUCAGCUCACGUGGGACCGUACCCCAAACCAACACAGGUGGUCAGGGUGAGAAUCCCAAGGCGCUUGAGAGAACUCGGGUAAAGGAACUAGGCAAAAUGGUGCCGUAACUUCGGGAGAAGGCACGCCGCGCUAGGGUGACGGGACUCGCUCCCCGAGCUCGAGGCGGUCGAAGAUACCAGGCCCCUGCGACUGUUUACUAAAAACACAGCACUGUGCGAACUCGAAAGAGGAUGUAUACGGUGUGACGCCUGCCCGGUGCCGGAAGGUUAAUUGAUGGGGUUAGCUCCGGCGAAGCCCUUGAUCGAAGCCCCGGUAAACGGCGGCCGUAACUAUAACGGUCCUAAGGUAGCGAAAUUCCUUGUCGGGUAAGUUCCGACCUGCACGAAUGGCGUAACGAUGGGGGCGCUGUCUCUACCCGAGACUCAGUGAAAUUGAAAUCGCUGUUAAGAUGCAGUGUAUCCGCGGCCAGACGGAAAGACCCCGUGAACCUUUACUAUAGCUUCACAGUGAACUUUGAGCAGUCUUGUGUAGGAUAGCUGGGAGGCUUUGAAACGGUGACGCCAGUCACCGUGGAGCCGUCCUUGAAAUACCAGCCUGGGUUGUUUGAGGUUCUAACUCAGUCCCGUUACCCGGGACGAGGACACUGUGUGGUGGGUAGUUUGACUGGGGCGGUCUCCUCCCAAAGCGUAACGGAGGAGCACAAAGGUGGGCUAAGCACGGUCGGACAUCGUGCGGUUUGUGUAAAGGCACAAGCCCGCUUGACUGCGAGACAUACUCGUCGAGCAGGUGCGAAAGCAGGUCUUAGUGAUCCGGUGGUUCUGUAUGGAAGGGCCAUCGCUCAACGGAUAAAAGGUACUCCGGGGAUAACAGGCUGAUACCGCCCAAGAGUUCACAUCGACGGCGGUGUUUGGCACCUCGAUGUCGGCUCAUCACAUCCUGGGGCUGAAGCCGGUCCCAAGGGUAUGGCUGUUCGCCAUUUAAAGUGGUACGCGAGCUGGGUUUAGAACGUCGUGAGACAGUUCGGUCCCUAUCUGCCGUGGACGUUGGAGAUUUGAGGAAAGCUGCUCCUAGUACGAGAGGACCGGAGUGGACGAACCUCUGGUGUUCCGGUUGUCACGCCAGUGGCAUUGCCGGGUAGCUAAGUUCGGACAGGAUAACCGCUGAAGGCAUCUAAGCGGGAAGCCCCUUCCAAGAUGAAAUCUCCCCGGGCCCUCGAGGCCCCUCAAGAGCCGUCCAAGACCAGGACGUGGAUAGGCCGGGUGUGGAAGCGCUGCAAGGCGUUAAGCUAACCGGUACUAAUGGCUCGUGAGGCUUGACUAUAUAACACCCCAG
rnacentral:rRNA from 2 species